UAAGUAUAUUGGACAUAUGACAGAUGAAAAUUUUGUAACAUUAGGCAUCUUGAUACAACAGAUAAAGCAUCUGGUUCUUCAACCCUCUGAAUAUAAAGCUAAACUCCACAAUCAGGUAGUAUUCUGAAUGUCAUGUAUUCUGUGACUGUUAGUACACUCGCACUACAGAUGCAAUAAUAAUGACUUAAAGUCAUCAUUAGAGAGCAAUUAUUUGUCUUGUUUACCAAUUUUCUUUACAAAAAAAAACAUCAGCUUUUCCAUUGGAACAACUUUAUUCCUCUUUUUGUUGUUCCUUUAUUCACACGAGGCAGACAUCAUACAGGAGCUUCUUAGGAAGAAUGAUAUUAUAUAAAUACCUAUUCAAGUUUGUUGACCUUUUAACAGAUGACUAGGGAUAUGUUCCAAAUGCAGUAACCACAUUCCUGUCCAUCUUUUUCCUGAAUUCUACACAUCACGGGGUUUUUACAUGAGCAAAGUGCUUCACACCACAUGUGGAACAGGAUCUGUUUAU
rnacentral:lncRNA from 1 species